GGGCUGGGCACAGAGGGAGGUGUGUAAAUAAGCAGAUUAGGGCUGGAUUCUAAAACAUCCUUAAAAAUGAGAACUUUCCAAAGAUGGCAUGGACUACAUCUAGAGGUGCUAAGUUCCACAUCGCUAAAGCUCCUGAGUGACCACUGCUUUGGGGUAUGGGCUUUUCAUGCUGGCUGUUUCUGGCAUCAGAAACCCAAGGGCUCUGGCUUCACUCCCCUGGAUCUCUCAGCCCUCCAGUGGAGAUGUCAAAUGUUCAUGCUGCAGGGAAAAGCAGGCAGUGAAAAUACAAUCAACAAGCAUUUAUUAGGUGCUUCCUGUGCACCAGGCACCAUGCUAAGCUCUGGAAAUACAAAGACAAAAAGAGCUUCCACUCUCUCAGGGAAGAUGGCCCCAGAUGGCGCUUCACAUCCAGCUCCCUGGGCCAUCUGGAGGCAUGGCGCCGUCCAUUCUGGUGUCGCACGAACACGUACGUACGUUGUAUGAUAGCAAGUGUUUAAUACAUGCUAUUGAUCAUGCUAACUCCCCGUACUAAGAAUGUAAUUUCUGUCUUUGUCCCAAUACCUGGCACGGGCUAGGUUCCCGCUGCUCAGAGAGUGUGUCAGGCCACUGGGAGGCCUUCAUCCCUACUCCCACCCUAGUCCUUCCUGCAGUCCAGGUUCCCCUAGGACUUCCCCUUCCUCCCGACUUUGUUGCCAACAGAUGAGAAAACUGAGGCUCAUGCAUGUAAAAAGAUCUGCCCAGGGUCGCACAGUUGGAAAGCGUUCGAAGGCGGGCUUUGAACUCAGGUCUCCCCUGACUCUAAGUCAGCUCCCCUCAUUUCAACCAUGCUCCUAGUAAGACUAGACUUAAACUUCCCUUAGUAUACUCACUCACUU